UAGGGAAUCUUCCACAAUGGACGCAAGUCUGACGGAGCAACGCCGCGUGAGUGAAGAAGGUUUUCGGAUCGUAAAGCUCUGUUGUUGGUGAAGAAGGAUAGAGGCAGUAACUGGUCUUUAUUUGACGGUAAUCAACCAGAAAGUCACGGCUAACUACGUGCCAGCAGCCGCGGUAAUACGUAGGUGGCAAGCGUUGUCCGGAUUUAUUGGGCGUAAAGCGAGCGCAGGCGGAAUGAUAAGUCUGAUGUGAAAGCCCACGGCUCAACCGUGGAACUGCAUCGGAAACUGUCAUUCUUGAGUGCAGAAGAGGAGAGUGGAACUCCAUGUGUAGCGGUGGAAUGCGUAGAUAUAUGGAAGAACACCAGUGGCGAAGGCGGCUCUCUGGUCUGCAACUGACGCUGAGGCUCGAAAGCAUGGGUAGCGAACAGGAUUAGAUACCCUGGUAGUCCAUGCCGUAAACGAUGAGCGCUAGGUGUUGGGGACUUUCCGGUCCUCAGUGCCGCAGCAAACGCAUUAAGCGCUCCGCCUGGGGAGUACGACCGCAAGGUUGAAACG
rnacentral:rRNA from 1 species